rnacentral:rRNA from 1 species
GAGUUUGAUCUUGGCUCAGAUUGAACGCUGGCGGCAGGCCUAACACAUGCAAGUCGAGCGGUAGAGAGAAGCUUGCUUCUCUUGAGAGCGGCGGACGGGUGAGUAAUGCCUAGGAAUCUGCCUGGUAGUGGGGGAUAACGCUCGGAAACGGACGCUAAUACCGCAUACGUCCUACGGGAGAAAGCAGGGGACCUUCGGGCCUUGCGCUAUCAGAUGAGCCUAGGUCGGAUUAGCUAGUUGGUGAGGUAAUGGCUCACCAAGGCGACGAUCCGUAACUGGUCUGAGAGGAUGAUCAGUCACACUGGAACUGAGACACGGUCCAGACUCCUACGGGAGGCAGCAGUGGGGGAAUAUUGGACAAUGGGCGAAAGCCUGAUCCAGCCAUGCCGCGUGUGUGAAGAAGGUCUUCGGAUUGUAAAGCACUUUAAGUUGGGAGGAAGGGCAGUAAAUUAAUACUUUGCUGUUUUGACGUUACCGACAGAAUAAGCACCGGCUAACUCUGUG